UACGGAGGGUGCGAGCGUUGUCCGGAAUCACUGGGCGUAAAGGGCGCGUAGGCGGCUCGUGGAGUCAACGGUGAAAGCUCGGCGCUCAACGCCGAGUCGGCCGUCGAUACUCCCGUGCUCGAGCACUGUAGAGGCAGGUGGAAUUCCGGGUGUAGCGGUGGAAUGCGUAGAGAUCCGGAAGAACACCGGUGGCGAAGGCGGCCUGCUGGGCAGUAGCUGACGCUGAGGCGCGACAGCGUGGGGAGCAAACAGG
rnacentral:rRNA from 1 species